rnacentral:rRNA from 1 species
UACGUAGGGAGCAAGCGUUGUCCGGAAUCAUUGGGCGUAAAGCGCGCGUAGGCGGCCCCGUAAGUCCGCUGUGAAAGUCAAAGGCUCAACCUUUGAAAGCCGGUGGAUACUGUGGGGCUAGAGUACGGAAGAGGCGAGUGGAAUUCCUGGUGUAGCGGUGAAAUGCGUAGAUACAUGGAGGAACACCGGUGGCGAAAGCGGCUUUCUAGUUUUUACCUGACGCUGAGGCGCGAGAGCAAGGGGAGCAAACAGG